UGGGCAAUCUGCCCUGCACUCUGGGACAAGCCCUGGAAACGGGGUCUAAUACCGGAUACUGACCCUCGCAGGCAUCUGCGAGGUUCGAAAGCUCCGGCGGUGCAGGAUGAGCCCGCGGCCUAUCAGCUUGUUGGUGAGGUAAUGGCUCACCAAGGCGACGACGGGUAGCCGGCCUGAGAGGGCGACCGGCCACACUGGGACUGAGACACGGCCCAGACUCCUACGGGAGGCAGCAGUGGGGAAUAUUGCACAAUGGGCGAAAGCCUGAUGCAGCGACGCCGCGUGAGGGAUGACGGCCUUCGGGUUGUAAACCUCUUUCAGCAGGGAAGAAGCGAAAGUGACGGUACCUGCAGAAGAAGCGCCGGCUAACUACGUGCCAG
rnacentral:rRNA from 1 species